rnacentral:sRNA from 1 species
GCUGGGAGCGGUGACGCACGCCUGUAAUCCCAGAGGCUCAGGAGGCUGAGACAGGAGGAUCUCAAGUUCAAAGCCAGCCUCAGCAACUAUGAGGCCCUAAGCAACUCAGUGAGACCCUGUCUCUA